GAGCGAUAUUGGAUUAAUGCGGGCUCAUAAACGCACCUGAGAAGUGAAAAUUGGUACCUUGCACGCAGGAUGCAAGAAAUGCUUGAGUGUUAACCAUCAUCGGUACCAAGUACCUAGGUUAUAUCGAGUGCGUAGAUGGAAGUCGGUACCAAAGGGAAACCUUCCUAGGCUAGGUGCACGCAAGUGAGUAUGGAUCGAUCAGUAGAAAGAUGGGAAGCCAUAGGAAACCUUCCUAGGCUAGGUGCACGCAAGUGAGUAUGGAUCGAUCAGUAGAAAGAUGGGAAGCCAUAGGAAACCUUCCUAGGCUAGGUGCACGCAAGUGAGUAUGGAUCGAUCAGUAGAAAGAUGGGAAGCCAUAGGAAACCUUCCUAGGCUAGGUACACGCAAGUGAGUAUGGAUCGAUCAGUAGAAAGAUGGGAAGCCAUAGGAAACCUUCCUAGGCUAGGUGCACGCAAGUGAGUAUGGAUCGAUCAGUAGAAAGAUGGGAAGCCCAAGGAAACCUUCCUAGGCUAGGUGCACGCAAGUGAGUAUGGAUCGAUCAGUAGAAAGAUGGGAAGCCAUAGGAAACCUUCCUAGGCUAGGUGCACGCAAGUGAGUAUGGAUCGAUCAGUAGAAAGAUGGGAAGCCAUAGGAAACCUUCCUAGGCUAGGUGCACGCAAGUGAGUAUGGAUCGAUCAGUAGAAAGAUGGGAAGCCAUAGGAAACCUUCCUAGGCUAGGUGCACGCAAGUGAGUAUGGAUCGAUCAGUAGAAAGAUGGGAAGCCAUAGGAAACCUUCCUAGGCUAGGUGCACGCAAGUGAGUAUGGAUCGAUCAGUAGAAAGUGGGAAGCCCAGUACCAAAUGCCCUAGUGAAGACCGUAAACGAAUAUCAUGAACCGAUAAGGAGCACCAAAUGCCCUAGUGAAGACCGUAAACGAAUAUCAUGAACCGAUAAGGAGCACCAAAUGCCCUAGUGAAGACCGUAAACGAAUAUCAUGAACCGAUAAGGAGCACCAAAUGCCCUAGUGAAGACCGUAAACGAAUAUCAUGAACCGAGAAGUAGCAACGAAUGCCUGAAAAAGUACCAAGUCCACGGUAUAGAGUAACGAGAGUUAACCGCCGUGAUGUAUGCAAUGAGGGCAGCCAUUGCAUGGGUUCUGGACUUGGUUCGCGAAUAACUUUUUUGCUAGACAUCGGACAAAGUUGACGUGUAAGAACGAAAUGUAGCAUUUGAUGCCACCUAUCCAAAACUUUUUCAAGAUUGAAGAUCCGAUCGAUACAGCCUGAGUUAUAGGCAAAAGUUGGUGCAAAAUUGAGCAUUUUUAAUGGUGAAAAAUCGGUACUCCUCGAAUAGCUCCUGUUGGAAGCAUCGGACCACAUGGUCGUGGAAGAACAUAUUGUAGCGCGCGGUGUCAAGUAUCGACACCCAAAACCGCAUGUCCGAUGGACGGAAAAUGACCAAGUUAUAGUGAAAACUUGGUUGCACCAAAUUCCCGAAGAAGUGCAACGAGAAGGUGAAUGCGAUGGUUGUUCGUCGAAUAGCUCCGGCCACAGACAUGGUAGCGAUUAGUGGUGCAUGGAAGAAAUCUAGCCACAAGUGCCAUCUAGCCAUGGCCAGAAGAAAGUGUGGCCAUAUCUUGGAUACCGGCGGAGCUAUGGGGCAAAUAUGGGCCAAAAAUGGUGCAAGUUGGACCAAAAAUCCGACCAAGUGCGCGAGGCGCUUUCGUGAAUAGCUCCGGCCACAGACAUGGUAGCGAUUAGUGGUGCAUGGAAGAAAUCUAGCCACAAGUGCCAUCUACCCAUGGCCAGAAGAAAGUGUGGCCAUAUCUUGGAUACCGGCUAAGCUAUGGGGCAAAUAUGGGCCAAAAAUGGUGCUAGUUGGACCAAAAAUCCGAAAAAGUACCUAGGUAAAUGCGAUGGUUGUUCGUCGAAUAGCUCCGGCCACAGACAUGGUAGCGAUUAGUGGUGCAUGGAAGAAAUCUAGCCACAAGUGCCAUCUACCCAUGGCCAGAAGAAAGUGUGGCCAUAUCUUGGAUACCGGCGGAGCUAUGGGACAAAUAUGGGCCAAAAAUGGUGCCAGGUGGACCAAAAAUCCGACCAAGUGCGCAAGGCGCUUUCGUGAAUAGCUCCGGCCACAGACAUGGUAGCGAUUAGUGGUGCAUGGAAGAAAUCUAGCCACAAGUGCCAUCUACCCAUGGCCAGAAGAAAGUGUGGCCAUAUCUUGGAUACCGGCGAAGCUAUGGGGCAAAUAUGGGCCAAAAAUGGUGCUAGUUGGACCAAAAAUCCGAAAAAGUACCUAGGUAAAUGCGAUGGUUGUUCGUCGAAUAGCUCCGGCCACAGACAUGGUAGCGAUUAGUGGUGCAUGGAAGAAAUCUAGCCACAAGUGCCAUCUACCCAUGGCCAGAAGAAAGUGUGGCCAUAUCUUGGAUACCGGCGGAGCUAUGGGGCAAAUAUGGGCCAACAAUGGUGCCAGGUGGACCAAAAAUCCGACCAAGUGCGCGAGGCGCUUUCGUGAAUAGCUCCGGCCACAGACAUGGUAGCGAUUAGUGGUGCAUGGAAGAAAUCUAGCCACAAGUGCCAUCUACCCAUGGCCAGAAGAAAGUGUGGCCAUAUCUUGGAUACCGGCGGAGCUAUGGGGCAAAUAUGGGCCAAAAAUGGUGCAAGUUGGACCAAAAAUCCGAUAAAGUACCUAGGUAAAUGCGAUGGUUGUUCGUCGAAUAGCUCCGGCCACAGACAUGGUAGCGAUUAGUGGUGCAUGGAAGAAAUCUAGCCACAAGUGCCAUCUACCCAUGGCCAGAAGAAAGUGUGGCCAUAUCUUGGAUACCGGCGGAGCUAUGGGGCAAAUAUGGGCCAAAAAUGGUGCAAGUUGGACCAAAAAUCCGAAAAAGUACCUAGGUAAAUGCGAUGGUUGUUCGUCGAAUAGCUCCGGCCACAGACAUGGUAGCGAUUAGUGGUGCAUGGAAGAAAUCUAGCCACAAGUGCCAUCUACCCAUGGCCAGAAGAAAGUGUGGCCAUAUCUUGGAUACCGGCGGAGCUAUGGGGCAAAUAUGGGCCAAAAAUGGUGCAAGUUGGACCAAAAAUCCGAAAAAGUACCUAGGUAAAUGCGAUGGUUGUUCGUCGAAUAGCUCCGGCCAGAGACAUGGUAGCGAUUAGUGGUGCAUGGAAGAAAUCUAGCCACAAGUGCCAUCUACCCAUGGCCAGAACAAAGUGUGGCCAUAUCUUGGAUACCGGCGGAGCUAUGGGGCAAAUACGGGCCAACAAUGGUGCCAGGUGGACCAAAAAUCCGACCAAGUGCGCGAGGCGCUUUCGUGAAUAGCUCCGGCCACAGACAUGGUAGCGAUUAGUGGUGCAUGGAAGAAAUCUAGCCACAAGUGCCAUCUACCCAUGGCCAGAAGAAAGUGUGGCCAUAUCUUGGAUACCGGCGGAGCUAUGGGGCAAAUAUGGGCCAAAAAUGGUGAAGUUGGACCAAAAAUCCGACCAAGUGCGCUAGGCGCUUUCGUGAAUAGCUCCGGCCACAGACAUGGUAGCGAUUAGUGGUGCAUGGAAGAAAUCUAGCCACAAGUGCCAUCUACCCAUGGCCAGAAGAAAGUGUGGCGCUAUCUUGGAUACCGGCGGAGCUAUGGGACAAAUAUGGGCCAAAAAUGGUGCCAGGUGGACCAAAAAUCCGACCAAGUGCGCAAGGCGCUUUCGUGAAUAGCUCCGGCCACAGACAUGGUAGCGAUUAGUGGUGCAUGGAAGAAAUCUAGCCACAAGUGCCAUCUACCCAUGGCCAGAAGAAAGUGUGGCCAUAUCUUGGAUACCGGCGAAGCUAUGGGGCAAAUAUGGGCCAAAAAUGGUGCUAGUUGGACCAAAAAUCCGAAAAAGUACCUAGGUAAAUGCGAUGGUUGUUCGUCGAAUAGCUCCGGCCACAGACAUGGUAGCGAUUAGUGGUGCAUGGAAGAAAUCUAGCCACAAGUGCCAUCUACCCAUGGCCAGAAGAAAGUGUGGCCAUAUCUUGGAUACCGGCGGAGCUAUGGGGCAAAUAUGGGCCAAAAAUGGUGCAAGUUGGACCAAAAAUCCGAAAAAGUACCUAGGUAAAUGCGAUGGUUGUUCGUCGAAUAGCUCCGGCCACAGACAUGGUAGCGAUUAGUGGUGCAUGGAAGAAAUCUAGCCACAAGUGCCAUCUACCCAUGGCCAGAAGAAAGUGUGGCCAUAUCUUGGAUACCGGCGGAGCUAUGGGGCAAAUAUGGGCCAAAAAUGGUGCAAGUUGGACCAAAAAUCCGACCAAGUGCGCGAGGCGCUUUCGUGAAUAGCUCCGGCCACAGACAUGGUAGCGAUUAGUGGUGCAUGGAAGAAAUCUAGCCACAAGUGCCAUCUACCCAUGGCCAGAAGAAAGUGUGGCCAUAUCUUGGAUACCGGCGGAGCUAUGGGGCAAAUAUGGGCCAAAAAUGGUGCAAGUUGGACCAAAAAUCCGACCAAGUGCGCGAGGCGCUUUCGUGAAUAGCUCCGGCCACAGACAUGGUAGCGAUUAGUGGUGCAUGGAAGAAAUCUAGCCACAAGUGCCAUCUACCCAUGGCCAGAAGAAAGUGUGGCCAUAUCUUGGAUACCGGCGGAGCUAUGGGGCAAAUAUGGGCCAAAAAUGGUGCAAGUUGGACCAAAAAUCCGACCAAGUGCGCGAGGCGCUUUCGUGAAUAGCUCCGGCCACAGACAUGGUAGCGAUUAGUGGUGCAUGGAAGAAAUCUAGCCACAAGUGCCAUCUACCCAUGGCCAGAAGAAAGUGUGGCCAUAUCUUGGAUACCGGCGGAGCUAUGGGGCAAAUAUGGGCCAAAAAUGGUGCAAGUUGGACCAAAAAUCCGACCAAGUGCGCGAGGCGCUUUCGUGAAUAGCUCCGGCCACAGACAUGGUAGCGAUUAGUGGUGCAUGGAAGAAAUCUAGCCACAAGUGCCAUCUAGCCAUGGCCAGAAGAAAGUGUGGCCAUAUCUUGGAUACCGGCGGAGCUAUGGGGCAAAUAUGGGCCAAAAAUGGUGAAGUUGGACCAAAAAUCCGACCAAGUGCGCGAGGCGCUUUCGUGAAUAGCUCCGGCCACAGACAUGGUAGCGAUUAGUGGUGCAUGGAAGAAAUCUAGCCACAAGUGCCAUCUAGCCAUGGCCAGAAGAAAGUGUGGCCAUAUCUUGGAUACCGGCGGAGCUAUGGGGCAAAUAUGGGCCAAAAAUGGUGCAAGAUGGACCAAAAAUCCGAAAAAGUACCUAGGUAAAUGCGAUGGUUGUUCGUCGAAUAGCUCCGGCCACAGACAUGGUAGCGAUUAGUGGUGCAUGGAAGAAAUCUAGCCACAAGUGCCAUCUAGCCAUGGCCAGAAGAAAGUGUGGCCAUAUCUUGGAUACCGGCGGAGCUAUGGGGCAAAUAUGGGCCAAAAAUGGGUAAAAUUGUACGGUCCAAAGCCAAGGGUAAAUUUUUUUAUUCCUCUAAUAACUUCUAGUACAGACAUUGAAUCGGUUGGUGAUGUAUGGAUGAAAUGUAGCAAACAGUUGGAACUACCCAUAAAAUCUUAAAGAUUGACGAUCCAAUGUAUAGAACCGGAGUAAUGUGCGAUACUUGGUGAAAAAUCGAGUGAAAAAUUAGCUAUAAACUGUUUUUGGCCCAUAACUCGAAUACUAGACAUCGGAAGGGUGGGUCGUAGAACGAUUUUUUGUUGCCCUAUCGAUUCCCUAUCGAACGAGCAAAAGUUGUUUUUUUGACCAAAAAGGACCCCUACUCUAGUAAAAUUGGCCUGAUUUUACUAGUCCCCGGUACCCGUACAGGCAAAAUGAGCAAAAUGCUCAAGUAUGAAUGGUUUUUGGCCCAUAACUCGAAUACUAGACGUCGCAGGGGGGUGUCGUGGAACAAUUUUUGGUAGCCCUUGAAAUUAUCUAUCGAAUGACAUAUACUUGA